CGAAAAUUUUAACGAUAACGUUUUAAUAAUAUUCAUUAUACACGUAUUAUAUAUUAUGUGAUUCCAUCAUCAUCACAGCCCUCGGUUUUAUCGGGAUUCCGUUUCUUUUCUAUAUCUUUUUUCUAUACACACAAAAUACGACCUUGAUAACCUUUUGCCGCGGACAUUAUGUAGGUUGAGUCUAUAAUAGGUUCGUUCGUGGAUUAUAUUUACGGACAUGUGGGCGUGCGUGCGUGUUUUUGUGACCUACGGAAAAAACGAUGGAAAAUCUCGCCGCGUGUUGAUAAUAUUUUGUACAGACACAUUGUCGUUAUUAAUUUAAAAAUUGUUGUCGAUCGACAAUUUUAAAUUUUAUUCCAUAGAAUUGUGGAUAUUCUUACCGCGGAAAAAUUGUAUAGAGUUUUCCGCUCUCAAUGCCAAUUGCAAUUGACAUUGAAAAUAAU